rnacentral:rRNA from 1 species
AGGACAAACGCUGGCGGCGUGCCUAAGACAUGCAAGUCGGACGGGGGGCUUUCGGGCCUCGAGUGGCGGACGGGUGAGGAGCGCGUGGAGAACCUGCCCUGGGAUGGGGGAUACCAGCCAGAAAUGGCUGUUAAGACCGCAUACGAUUGUCUGCCGGUAAGGGAGACAAGGAAAGCCGUAAGGCGUCCUGGGAGGGGUCCGCGUCGGAUUAGCUAGUUGGUGGGGUAAGGGCCUACCAAGGCGACGAUCCGUAGCUGGUCUGAGAGGACGGCCAGCCACACUGGGACUGAGACACGGCCCAGACUCCUACGGGAGGCAGCAGUUAGGGAAUUUUGACAAUGGGCGCAAGCCUGAUCGAGUGACGCCGCGUGUGGGAUGACGCCUUUCGGGGUGUAAACCACUUUUCUUGGGGACGAGAACGGACGGUACCCGAGGAAGAAGCCUCGGCUAACUACGUGCCAGCAGCCGC